CUAAGGUAUGCAAGUCGAACGAACCCUUUUGAAUUACUUGAAACUUCGGUUGAUUGUUUUUCUUUUUUGGGUUAGUGGCAAACGGGUGAGUAACACGUGGAUAACCUGCCUUGAAGUCAUGAACAGCUCAUCGAAAGAUGGGAUAAUACAUGAUAGUCUUACAUCUUCUUUAGAUCUUGUAAGUAAAGUUACGGCGCUUCAAGAGGGGUCCGCGUCCUAUCAGCUAGUUGGUGAGGUAAUAGCUCACCAAGGCUAAGACGGGUAGCUGGCGUGAGAGCGCGGUCAGCCACCAUGGAACUGAGACACGGUCCAUACUCCUACGGGAGGCAGCAAUUAGGAAUCUUGCGCAAUGGGGGCAACCCUGACGCAGCGACACAGCGUGGAGGAAGAAGGUCUUCGGAUUGUAAACUCCUUUUAUAUGGGAAGAAUAGAUGACGGUACCAUAUGAAUAAGCACCUGCUAACUACGUGCCAGAAGCAUCGGUAAUGCGUAGGGUGCAAACGUUAUCCGGAUUUAUUGGGUGUAUAGAGAUGCGUAGGCGUUUUUGUAAGUCUUUAGUUAAAGACCACGGCUCAACCGUGGAAGAGCUUCGGAUACUGCAAAAAUUGAGACAGGAAGAGGCGAACAGAAUUUCCAGUGGAGCGGUGAAAUGCGUUGAUACUGGGAGGAAUAUCAGUGGCGAAGGCGGUUCGCUGGUCCUUGUCUGACGCUAAGGCUCGAAAGCGUGGGUAGCAAAACGGAUUAGAUACCCGUGUAGUCCACGCUGUAAACUAUGGAUGCUAGGUGUUCGGUAUAACUGUUUUUUCCUUCGGGAAAAAAUGGAAGUAUUGAGUGCCGC
rnacentral:rRNA from 1 species